rnacentral:misc_RNA from 1 species
GAUGAAGAACGCAGUGAAAUGCGAUACGUAAUGUGAAUUGCAGAAUUCAGUGAAUCAUCGAGUCUUUGAACGCACAUUGCGCCCCCUGGUAUUCCGGGGGGCAUGCCUGUCCGAGCGUCAUUGCUGCCCUCAAGCACGGCUUGUGUGUUGGGCCUCCGUCCUCCUCCCGGGGGACGGGCCCGAAAGGCAGCGGCGGAACCGCGUCCGGUCCUCGAGCGUAUGGGGCUUCGUCACCCGCUCUUGUAGGCCCGGCCGGCGCUUGCCGACACAUCAAUCUUUUUUCCAGGUUGACCUCGGAUCAGGUAGGGAUACCCGCUGAACUUAAGCAUAUCAAUAAGCGGAGGA